rnacentral:rRNA from 1 species
AACGAACGCUGGCGGCAGGCCUAACACAUGCAAGUCGAGCGAGGACUUCGGUCCUAGCGGCGGACGGGUGAGUAACGCGUGGGAACGUACCCUUUGUUACGGAAUAGCCCCGGGAAACUGGGAGUAAUACCGUAUGUGCCCUUUGGGGGAAAGAUUUAUCGGCAAAGGAUCGGCCCGCGUUGGAUUAGGUAGUUGGUGGGGUAAUGGCCUACCAAGCCGACGAUCCAUAGCUGGUUUGAGAGGAUGAUCAGCCACACUGGGACUGAGACACGGCCCAGACUCCUACGGGAGGCAGCAGUGGGGAAUCUUAGACAAUGGGCGCAAGCCUGAUCUAGCCAUGCCGCGUGAGCGAUGAAGGCCUUAGGGUUGUAAAGCUCUUUCAGGGGGGAAGAUAAUGACUGUACCCCCAGAAGAAGCCCCGGCUAACUCCGUGCCAGCCGCCGCUGUAAAAC